GACGAACGCUGGCGGCGUGCCUAAUACAUGCAAGUCGAGCGGAAUGAUGAAGAAGCUUGCUUCUUCUGAUUUUAGCGGCGGACGGGUGAGUAACACGUGGGCAACCUACCUUGUAGAUUGGGAUAACUCCGGGAAACCGGGGCUAAUACCGAAUAAUCCAUUUUGCUUCAUGGCGAGAUGUUGAAAGACGGUUUCGGCUGUCACUAUAAGAUGGGCCCGCGGCGCAUUAGCUAGUUGGUAGGGUAAUGGCCUACCAAGGCGACGAUGCGUAGCCGACCUGAGAGGGUGAUCGGCCACACUGGGACUGAGACACGGCCCAGACUCCUACGGGAGGCAGCAGUAGGGAAUCUUCCACAUGGACGAAAGUCUGAUGGAGCAACGCCGCGUGAGUGAAGAAGGUUUUCGGAUCGUAAAACUCUGUUGUAAGGGAAGAACACGUACGAGAGUAACUGCUCGUACCUUGACGGUACCUUAUUAGAAAGCCACGGCUAACUACGUG
rnacentral:rRNA from 1 species